rnacentral:tRNA from 1 species
UGGCUCAGAGGUUAAAGCGUCUGCCUCUAAUGCAGGAGACCCGGGUUCCAUCCCUGG